rnacentral:rRNA from 1 species
UACCAGCUCUUCGAGUGGUGUGGAUGUUUAUUGGGCCUAAAGCAUCCGUAGCUGGCUGGGCAAGUCCCCUGUUAAAUCCACCGAUUCAAUCGUUGGAGUGCGGGGGAUACUGCUCGGCUAGGGGACGGGAGAGGCAGACGGUAUUUUCGGGGUAGGGGUGAAAUCCUAUAAUCCCGGGAAGACCACCAGUGGCGAAGGCUGUCUGCUAGAACGUGCCCGACGGUGAGGGAUGAAAGCUGGGGGAGCGAACCGGAUUAGAUACCCGGGUAGUCCCAGCUGUAAACGAUGCAGGCUAGGUGUUUGGACGGCCACGUGCCGUUCUAGUGCCGCAGGGAAGCCGUUAAGCCCGCCGCCUGGGGAGUACGGCCGCAAGGCUGAAACUUAAAGGAAUUGGCGGGGAGCACCACAAGGGGUGAAGCUUGCGGUUU